UAUGGAAUAAGUGUACAACAACCUCCGGGUUCUGUACUAAUGGCUGGACUUUAACGGUGUUUUAUCCAUUUUCCCCUGAAGGUGUAUGAAUUAGCAACAAUGCCAGGUAUGGUUGGGUUUUCUCUCGCUAUACAUUUGGUUUGAAGUGAGAGGGUCUCUCAGGUCUCAGUUAUGGCCGUUCCGUCCGUCUGUGCAGACUACGAUCCCCUGCCGCACAUCCCGGUGGUGGAGAUGGUGUCGGAGGACGAGACGUCCGAGGUGGAGAGCCUGACCCAUUUCCCGCCCAAGUUAGUAUCAAACACUGGAUGGGUCAGAGGUGACGGAGGUGCGUGAGAAGCCCCUGAACCUCACCUGUCCGUCUCUCCACAGGGUCGUCAGCUGGAUCAAGCAGAUGGUCCCUCAGCCCGUUCUAGUGCCCCCUGGUGCCGUAAUUACAGAACCGUCAAACAAGACAUCAGCGCGUUCCUCUCUGGACAAAAGUACCAAAACACACACUAAUUUAGGUGGGUUUUUUUCUGGAGAUUCUGAGUGUAACACACGUCUGUCCUUCUGCCAGUUAUGUCCCCCCCACCUGAAUCUCUCAGUGGAAUCUCGUUGGACACCGACAGCAAGGUUUCAGGGUACGUGUUGUUGAGCUCUCAAAUGCCUGUAUUCAUCAGUUCAACCAUCAUUUAGCUGUGAGUCGCAGGGUGUUCCGGCACGAAGAGGCCGCCGACCUUCGCGCGUCUGAACACAAUAAAAGUGUCCUAAGACACCUCGUGGUGGUUGAGAACUCAUUGCAGCUCAUCUGUUGCCAGUGUUGUCAGCUGGUUUGUGUCAGGACUGGGUCUGAAACUGCCUCAGCCUCCGACCCAUGAAGAAAAUGAGGGUGGAAAUGAAACUCUACAGAAGGGGGGGAAGGCGCUGCGAGCCCCUUAAACAGCAGGAGGAGCAGACUGGGCCACCGUCCGACUCAGACAGCUCACUAACGAUAGACAAACACGUGCGCUGCAGCUCAGAAAACGGCAGCUUCUCGAACUUGUGCACCGUGGAUGUAUUACCAAGUGCACACGCACACCUUAGAUGUGUCUUGUCCUUCCUUUUCCUGAUCCUGUUGCCAUUUUUAUAUCCAGCAGAGUAACCGUGAGGGAAAAUAAGUACGUGAUUUACGUUAAAUACACGGUCUUGUGUGUUUCUGUUUACGCGUAGGCAGAAAUCUGGGGCAAAGAAUUGAAGGGCAGCUAAAUUUAUUUAUUAUUGAGUUGGUUACAAAGCUCUGUGUUUCUAUUAUAUUAUAUAUUCUAUAUUUAGUAGAAAUCCAAUAGAAAUCCAAUCUGAUCUACAGGUUUGAACUGUGAAAUGUGGCCUGGAGAAUCUCAUGUUAGCCAUAAUGGUGG
rnacentral:lncRNA from 1 species